ACACGGUGACGCAAGGGCCGGAAGGAGGGACCCUGUGUCUGGAGAAGCGGGAGAUGGGGGCCUGGACCCCUGGGUCUGAGGGAGGAGGGGCUGGGGUCGUGAUUCCCGUGUUUGGGAGAAAAGGGGGUUGGGAGCUGGGACUCCUGGGGCCGAGGGAGGCCUUUGGGGCUCCCACUCAGUUUUGACGGUCUAAGGCCUGGGGGCCUGGAUUCUUGGUAGGGUUGGAGAUCUCAGGAGUGUCUUUCCACUGAUAGGAUUAUACAUUCUUUCCACUUAUAUGAUUAUUUUGAAAAUUAAAAAAUGAAACUUCUCUACUCCAAACUCACUUUCUAGGAGUUUCACUGUCAACAAUUUGGUGUGGACUUUAUGUUUUCUUUUUUCAGAUGGAGUCUUGCUCUGUCGCCCAGGCUGGAGUCCAGUGGUGUGAUCUCAGCUCACUUCAUCCUCCGCUUCCCGAGUUCAAGCAAUUCUCGUGCCUCAGCCUCCCGAGUAGCUGGGAUUACAGGUGCCUAUCACCACGCCCAGCUAAUUUUUUUGCAUGUUUAGUAGAGACAGGGUUUCACCAUAUUGGCCAGGCUGGUCUCGAACUCCUGACCUCAAGUGAUCUGCCUGCCUCAAACCUCCCAAAGCACUGGGAUUACAGGUGUGAGCCACCACGCCUGGCCUGGUAUGGACUUUAUAUAUAUAUACACACACACACACACACACACACACACACAUAUUAUGGAUAAAGAUACUUUUUUCCACUCUAAUCUGUCCCAUAAGUUGUUUCCCCACAUGAGUACGUACAGAAUUAUCUCAUUCACUGAACAAUGGCAACGGGCUCCUUUGUGUGAAUUGAACACGCUUUGUUUAGCGGGUCCCUGGUCAUUUGGGUUGUUUUCUUCUUUCUAGUGAGGAGAUUCCUUUCAUGAACCUUGUGGUCUGGAGUAAAAGAAGAGACCUACAUUCCUCUCUUAAGACCCUGUACCUUUGCUCCUAAGCAUGAAGAUGGGCUUCUGACCAAGUCCUGCUAGAGGACACUGAAAGGGCAAGCCUUGGGCUUUAACCAGGCAAUGGAAAAUUUAAAUUGGGCUCCAGAGAAGAGACAUUGAGACUGAUACUUCCAGCACUGAGGAUCUACCUCUAGAAGUCUAGCUCAGAACUUGGCCUCCGGCCUGGGCACUGCCUCAUACCUGCCAGAAUUGAUCUCAAUGGAGCUGCACAAUGAGAGGUUUUGCAUGUUGUCUAGAGGACUUUGGUUGAGUUCAGAGCUGAGCACACUUGCCUUCAGACUCUCCUGGGACUCCCAGUUCUCAUCCAUAUGAGCAAGGGCUUCAUGUUACUGGCCGUGGCCCUGUGCUGAGUCCUCCUCCCGCCCAUGGCCCUCUCCUCCUGGCCAGUGGUCCUCCGCCUGAACAUGGCCGACUUUGUCUUCAGUUUCCUCUGCCUCGGCAUUGGGCUCCUGAUUUCUCUUCAGCCUGACGCUCUUUUCAGUUAACGGCAAGGCGGUGCACCCAAGUCCGGUGGUGUCCUACCUGGUGACCUCCUACCUGUGCUGGGACGCCAGCGACUUGAUGCUGCACUCCGGAGCCGUGUCCUACCUAAGCCCAGUGGGCAUGUGAAGCAGAGGGCAGCCCUUGAAUGCGCGGCGGCUGAGCUACCGCGGGUGGGCCGUGCAGCAGGGCGCAGCGAGGCGGACAUCCAAACAGCGGAACUCAGACGCUGACUCCGAGCGCACCCCGGGCCUUCCCAUUUCAUACACCCUCGAGGAUGAGACCCAAGCACCUCCAAGGAAUAGCACCCGAGGUCUUCAGGACACCGACCGGUAGCCAUGGCCAGAUGCCCGGCCAACCCCUUCAGCGUGGCCACGCCCUGGAUAUUCGACCUCCCCUGAGGCCCCACCCCCUGAUAUCAGGCCACGCCCUCCGAGGGGACCGGUGGCAAACUCCAGCCCUCGCUCUAGGGCCCGCCCUUUGCGGCUUUGUCCCUGCCCACUGGGUCCUCACAGUACCUCCACCCCAGAGGCCCAGCAUCCCCUCCCGUUCUGCAGACACUUGUCCAGCGUCCCGCUGAGCUCGGCAGUGUGGCUAGUUUGUGUGGCCCUGCCCCUGGUGCCCAGCCAGGGUGGUCUGCAUGGAACUUCUUUCCCGGAGUUCCGGCCUCAGCUCCGAUGUCCACCCUUGUCCCCAGGUGGACACAGCACCGCCCAGCAUUUGGUGCAACUCCACCCUUCUGCAGAACGGGCCCCUCCCUGGGAAGGCAUGGCUUGCAAUAACAUCCCUCUGUACCUUUUCUGGCUUCCCCGCCACAAUAAAACCUCUCAGCCUCAGACCUUCCAUUGCCCCCCACCUCCCCACCAGGGCAGGGUCCAUCCUAGUGUGAGUGAACUGUUCUGGCGUCCCUGACUUGCCCUUUGGGA
rnacentral:lncRNA from 1 species